UACGGAGGGUGCGAGCGUUGUCCGGAAUCAUUGGGCGUAAAGGGCGCGUAGGUGGCGGGACAAGCGUGCGGUGAAAGCCUGGGGCUCAACCCCGGGUCGGCCGUGCGAACUGUUUUGCUUGAGCACUGUAGAGGCAGGCGGAAUUCCGGGUGUAGCGGUGAAAUUCGUAGAUAUUCGCAAGAACACCAGUGGCGAAGGCGGCUCACUGGCCCGGUACUGACGCUGAGGCACGAAAGCGUGGGGAGCAAACAGG
rnacentral:rRNA from 1 species